AUUGAACGCUGGCGGCAUGCUUUACACAUGCAAGUCGAACGGCAGCGCGGGCUUCGGCCUGGCGGCGAGUGGCGAACGGGUGAGUAAUACAUCGGAACGUGACCUGUAGAGGGGGAUAGCUCGGCGAAAGCCGGCUUAAUACCACACACGACCUGAGGGUGAAAGCGGGGGAUCUUUGGACCUCGCGCUAUUGGAGCGGCCGAUGGCAGAUUAGCUAGUUGGUGGGGUAAAGGCCUACCAAGGCGACGAUCUGUAGCUGGUCUGAGAGGACGACCAGCCACACUGGGACUGAGACACGGCCCAGACUCCUACGGGAGGCAGCAGUGGGGAAUUUUGGACAAUGGGCGAAAGCCUGAUCCAGCAAUGCCGCGUGUGUGAUGAAGGCCUUCGGGUUGUAAAGCACUUUUGGCGGGAACGAAAAGGACUGUGCCAAUACCACGGUUCGAUGACGGUACCCGCAGAAUAAGCACCGGCUAACUACGUG
rnacentral:rRNA from 1 species